AUCCAGCUGAUGAGUCCCAAAUAGGACGAAACGUGCAUCUUGAAU
rnacentral:hammerhead_ribozyme from 1 species